rnacentral:rRNA from 1 species
AACAAACGCUGGCGGCGUGCCUAAUACAUGCAAGUCGAACGGGGAAAGCUUUCGGGUGAGUACUAGUGGCGCACGGGUGAGUAACGCGUGGAUAAUCUGCCUUAGAGUGGGGGAUAACUAGUCGAAAGAUUAGCUAAUACCGCAUAAGACCACAAGAACUGCGGUUCAAGGGGUCAAAGGUUUUUCGCUCUAAGAUGAGUCCGCGUAAGAUUAGCUAGUUGGUAGGGUAACGGCCUACCAAGGCGACGAUCUUUAACUGGUCUGAGAGGAUGAUCAGGCACACUGGAACUGAGACACGGUCCAGACUCCUACGGGAGGCAGCAGUAGGGAAUAUUGCACAAUGGAGGAAACUCUGAUGCAGCGACGCCGCGUGAGUGAUGAAGGCCUUCGGGUCGUAAAGCUCUGUCGCAGGGGAAUAACACAAUGAAGGUACCCUGCAAGAAAGGAUCGGCUAACUUCGUGCCAGCCGCCGCAGUAAAAC